UUGCGCAAGUCGUGCUUUGGUAGGCAAUGUUCGCAAUCCUCUGUCGGAAUCGCAGGUUUAUUCUUUUCCCAACUUCGAGGCCCGGACAUCUGGUCCACCCGGAGCGCCCAACCAGGCACUCCGGCGCCGCGCGAUCUUACCGGGUCGCGCGGCACCCGGGCUCGCAGCGCCCAACCAGGCCUGCGGGAAGACGGCGACAGCCUCGCCGGCAAUGGACGAAACCGAAACGGGAGGAAAGGUCAUGGCCUUUCCU
rnacentral:sRNA from 1 species